GGGGUAAAGGCUCACCAAGGGCAAACGAUCAAUAACGGGGUUCUGAAAGGAUGAUCCGCCACACUGGGACUGAGACACGGCCCAGACUCCUACGGGAGGCAGCAGUGGGGAAUUUUGGACAAUGGGCGCAAGCCUGAUCCAGCCAUGCCGCGUGUCUGAAGAAGGCCUUCGGGUUGUAAAGGACUUUUGUCCGGGAGCAAAUCCCAGUGGUUAAUACCUACUGGGGCUGAGAGUACCGGAAGAAUAAGCACCGGCUAACUACGUGCCAGCAGCCGCGGUAAUACGUAGGGUGCAAGCGUUAAUCGGAAUUACUGGGCGUAAAGCGUGCGCAGGCGGUUGUGCAAGUCUGAUGUGAAAGCCCCGGGCUUAACCUGGGAACGGCAUUGGAGACUGCACGACUAGAGUGCGUCAGAGGGGGGUAGAAUUCCGCGUGUAGCAGUGAAAUGCGUAGAGAUGCGGAGGAAUACCGAUGGCGAAGGCAGCCCCCUGGGAUGACACUGACGCUCAUGCACGAAAGCGUGGGGAGCAAACAGGAUUAG
rnacentral:rRNA from 1 species